rnacentral:rRNA from 1 species
CAAGACAACUUUACGGAGUUGACGAUUGACGGAGCGAAGCGACGUCAAAGCGUUCAUUAAAGUCGAGUUGGCUUAGGGAUACGUUCGUUGGGUAGGGGAGCGUUCUGUAAGCCUGUGAAGGUGUGUCGUGAGGCAUGCUGGAGGUAUCAGAAGUGCGAAUGCUGACAUAAGUAACGAUAAAGCGGGUGAAAAGCCCGCUCGCCGGAAGACCAAGGGUUCCUGUCCAACGUUAAUCGGGGCAGGGUGAGUCGACCCCUAAGGCGAGGCCGAAAGGCGUAGUCGAUGGGAAACGGGUUAAUAUUCCCGUACUUGGUGUUACUGCGAAGGGGGGACGGAGAAGGCUAUGUUGGCCGGGCGACGGUUGUCCCGGUUUAAGCGUGUAGGUGUGUGUUCCAGGUAAAUCCGGUUCACUUUAACACUGAGGCGUGACGACGAGGCACUACGGUGCUGAAGCAACAAAUGCCCUGCUUCCAGGAAAAGCCUCUAAGCAUCAGGUAACAUCAAAUCGUACCCCAAACCGACACAGGUGGUCAGGUAGAGAAUACCAAGGCGCUUGAGAGAACUCGGGUGAAGGAACUAGGCAAAAUGGUGCCGUAACUUCGGGAGAAGGCACGCUGACACGUAGGUGAAGUGAUUUACUCAUGGAGCUGAAGUCAGUCGAAGAUACCAGCUGGCUGCAACUGUUUAUUAAAAACACAGCACUGUGCAAACACGAAAGUGGACGUAUACGGUGUGACGCCUGCCCGGUGCCGGAAGGUUAAUUGAUGGGGUCAGCGCAAGCGAAGCUCCUGAUCGAAGCCCCGGUAAACGGCGGCCGUAACUAUAACGGUCCUAAGGUAGCGAAAUUCCUUGUCGGGUAAGUUCCGACCUGCACGAAUGGCGUAAUGAUGGCCAGGCUGUCUCCACCCGAGACUCAGUGAAAUUGAACUCGCUGUGAAGAUGCAGUGUACCCGCGGCAAGACGGAAAGACCCCGUGAACCUUUACUAUAGCUUGACACUGAACAUUGAGCCUUGAUGUGUAGGAUAGGUGGGAGGCUUUGAAGUGUGGACGCCAGUCUGCAUGG